ensembl:lncRNA
GUAAAUAUAUAUAUAUAUAUUUUUUAACUUUAUUUUACUUUACAAUACUGUAUUGGUUUUGCCAUACAUUGACAUGAAUCCACCACGGGUGUACAUGCAUUCCCAAACAUGAACCCCCCUCCCACCUCCCUCUCCAUAACAUCUCUCUGGGUCAUCACCAUGCACCAGCCCCAAGCAUGCUGUAUCCUGCAUCGGACAUAGACUGGCGAUUCGAUUCUUACAUGAUAGUAUACAUGUUACAAUGCCAUUCUCCCAAAUCAUCCCACCCUCUCCCUCUCCCUCUGAGUCCAAAAGUCCAAAAAAGACACAGAUGUGUAUAAGGUAAAUAUUUUUUAAAAAUUGUAUUUAAUAGCAACCAGAAUAACUUUUGUUUGGCAUUAUUGAGACCCUUCCUCAUGGCAAUUUAGGUGUUCCUGAUGUGUCUUUAUUUUCCAGUAUUUCCAUCUACAGUAUAUGCUACCUCUAUGCAUUUUUUAUAUUAAAAUGAAUUUUUAGGUUAAAAUAGAUCUCAUGUAAAAUGUGGCUAGAGAAUCCACAGGCCAGUCAAUGCUUUAUGAUCAUCAUCUUUACUUAUUUACUUUUUCCUUUGUUUGGGUAUUUAUUCUUGCACCCUCCUCUUUUAGAGGGUAAAGGCUGUCAUGAUUCUGAAUCUAGUGUGAUUUCCUGUGAUCACACUUGCCUGCCUGAAUGAUGACAACACAAACAAUGAUGUUAAAGUGACAGUGAUCACGCACAUCCAGGGUUAUGCCCCUCACUUUUGGUCUCUUUCUCUCCUCCUUAAACUUCACCUUCUAUUUCUUGACCAGGUACACUGCUUUGACUCCUAAAAUAUUUUGCAGCUGCUGCUUGUUCUUUUAAUCAACCAUGCCGUUUUUUAUGUUUUCCAUGCCCUUCCAACUCUUCCCUGGAACUGUAUGGCCACAUCAAGACUAGUCAGGUUGAAGAAGGAAAGGAAGAGAAUGUCCCCCCAAUUUGGAUCAAUUAAAAUUAGAUUUGUUCAUCUCAAGCUCCAGCGGAUAGCCAACAAGGACCUACUCUAUAGCACAGGGAACUCUGCUCAAUGUUAUGUGGCAGCCUGGAUGGGAGGGAGUUUGGGGGAGAAUGGAUACAUGUAUGUGUAUGACUGAGUCCCUUGGCUGUUUACCUGAAACUGUCACAGCAUUGUUAAUUGGUUAUACUCCAAUACCAAGUAAAAAGAUUAAAAAAAUUAGAUUUGAAUGCUAAGUAGCUUGCCACUCUGUUGUCAUAUCAUUUAGCUUUGUGCUGCCACUUUUCUAGAUACUCUGUACUUUUUCCUCAUUAGAUUAUCCCACUCAGUGGAUAAGUUGGAAAGAUUAUAAUCACUUUUAAAUAAAUCUAUUCAAUUCAGUUUUCCUUUCCUACAUAGUAGUCGAUCCUAUGGGAACUCAGUCCUGACUAUUCAUUGGAAGGAGUGAUGCUGAAGCAGAAGCUCCAACACUGGCCACAAGAUGCGAAGAGCCAACUCAUUAGAAAAGAUACUGGGAAAGAUUGAAGGCAAGAGGAGAACAGGGCGACAGAGAAUGAAAUGAUUGGAUGGCAUCACCAACUCAAUGGACAUGAAUGUGAACAACUUCUGGGAGAUGGUGAAGGACAGAGAAGCCUGGCGUGCUGCAUUUCACGAGUUUGUAGAGUCGGACACAACUGUUUUAACCGUAACAACAACAACUCUCACAAUGGUGUUGAACCUGUUCAUAGUUGAUUCUUUUCUUCCUCUUUUAUAAAAAUACAUCUUUUCCAUUUAUUUGUUCAUUGAUGUAUAGUUGAUUUACAAUAUUAUAUGUUUCAUGUAUAUGGCA